AUGGAAUCAAUGCCAAUAAUGGAUAUUAAAAGAAGCACGCGGAUUCAAGUGGCAUCGCGUUCUCCUUCCUCUCAUCAACUCAACUCUGAUCACUAUUCACUAUCGUUACACACUCCGCUGUACCAGAGGCGGUCCUUGGUGGCGAAGGCGGAAUAAAAACAAUCGAACCCUAACAUCCCAACCGAAUCGUGGUGUUGAUCAUUAAUCUAACAGCAAAAUCUCCUAAUUUCUCAAGAAUCUCUAAAAUCGGAAAGAAAUAUGUAGGAACCCUAACUAGUAAAACCUACAUCAUCUGCUGCUCUCCAAGAACCGGAGCCCGAGGGAUUAGGGCUCCGAUUCGCCUAUCUCUCCUCUACGUCAUGGUGAUAACGAACUGAAAGAAAAAAGGAUUUGAAACUCAUCUUGCCGGAGACGAUGACUGUGACAGCGAAAUCUCUACUUCCAGGUGAGAACUCUGUUCGUAAUCUCUUAACCUUGUUCUUCCAGCUUUCUCCAUCCUUCUUCUUUUUCUUCUUGACCGAGCGAAUCGAGCCCUUGACCUUGGAAUGUCCUUCGGAUGUGAUUGAAGAUUGUGAGGGAUGAAGGUGAAGGUUGAGUUGAGAGAGAAUGGAGGUUCUGGUGAUUGUUGAGAGUGAUUGAAGAUUGUGAGGGAUGAAGGUGAAGGUUGAGUUGAGAGAGAAUGGAGGUUCUGGUGAUUGUUGAGAGUGAUUGAAGAUUGUGAGGGAUGAAGGUGAAGGUUGAGUUGAGAGAGAAUAAAGGUUCUGGUGAUUGUUGAGAGUGAUGAAGAUGAGCAUAUGAAUCCCCGUCCGUGAAUUUGAGAUAAUGAAGUGAAUUUAUAGACCGAGAUUCUGUUAGAAACUCAGUUGAAAUUCACUUCAAAUGAAACUCAAAUGAAACUCAAAUGUGGAAAAUGGUUAUUUGAUCAAAAUGUUAGUUAGGAUUAGCUGGAAAUGAAUCUAAAAUGAUUUUAUCUUUGAGGUUAAUCUGAAAAAUGAAUUUGAAGGUAAUUUAUUGAGUUUAAAAGUCGAUCUCAUUUGAGUUAUUUGCCUGAAUCGAUUUCCUACAGAAUGUACUUCCACUCAAAGCUUCUGCAAUUUCUUCUUUCUUCUAGUCUCAAUGUGUUAUUCCACUUCUGAAUUCUAUUUCUGUUUUUGGGAGGUUAUGGAAGGUUGGUUCGAGAGUCAGUUCGUUAUCCCGUUGCCGGUUCAGUUAAAGGGUUUUCGCAUCAGCUUGUGAGUUGGUUCAACGGUUUUGUUAGAGUGAAACCUAAAGAGUAGGUUGGAAGGUUUGGUUAUUAGUUGAAAGGUGGUUCUUUCCGGUUGAAGGAAAAUGAAGAGGUUAAGACAUUUGAACUGAAUUUCAUGGCUUUUCCUGUUCAAAGCAUGUGGGGUGAAUGUAAUGAAGCUUAGGCGCCUGCGUGUUUACCUCGACUUUUGUCACAGAACUUCCAUCUUUCAUAACACGGAAGAUCAUGUCAUUCAGAUGAAUUAGAGCAGUGCCUCUUCCAGAUAGCAUCUUUUUGGGAGCAACAAGAUCAUGUACACAAUACAUAGGGUCUUUGAGUAAAUUUAUCCACAUAAUACUUGGAAUUGCUAUAAAUGUUGUCAGGAUUGUACACCCAAGGCGGAUAUAUCCCUCCAUCUCCACAUGCCUACUUGCUAACCAUUGGAAUAUUUGGAGUCCUAGCCUUCUAGGAAUAUCAGUAGGAUUCCAAUCGUAAAGCUUAAAAGAAACCCGACUUGUUUGGCAUAUAUAUGAAUAAUCAUUCUUAUUGUCACGAUAUGAAGGCGAUUUGGAAAGAUUGGAAACAUCAUUUCCAAUAUUGGCUUAUGUUUCAGCAGAAGCAACAAAGGGCAUGCCACUCUCACCAUUAAUAUUCUGGGCCUUUAGUGUUAAGGACCCAAUAUCAACCUGCUCUUCUUCAUGAUCUAAGGCUUAUAAUGGUGAAUGAUUUAGAUGAAUAAAAUGGUCUUGGUAAAAUGGUUUUUUUUAUCCAUUGCAGGUUUGAUUAGUUGUUAAUGAGGUUGGUUAGUUGGUUUUGAAGAGGAACAAAAAGGAAGUUCAGUUUUGUCGGAGUCCAAGAGAAAAUCCAAGGAAUAACACAUAAUGAUUCAAUUCCUCCACUCGAGUUUCUUUUUGAUGGACGACUGCCAAUGUUCGUUCGCCCGUAUUCCAACUCAGGUGUUGCGCAUCAAAAAUAUUCAAAAAAACGAGGUUCUUGGAAAACAAUUGAGCGAUACUCCUUUGUUGCAAUGACUGCCAUCUAAUCCAAAAGGGCACACCAUUCUGGUUUUGGUGACACAGGAGGAUGCAUUAUGUGUUCUAGUGUAGGUGAAGUGAAACACUGAAGUGUUCUAAAUCACAAGUGCUCCUUUCCGAAUGAUUUUCGAUAACUUCACCUUGAACUGUUACUGGAAGUGAGCCAUGAAUAAUAUAAGAUGGCUAAGAUAAUAUAGCAAGAUGACUAGGACCGCCUCCUUUUCCAACUGUCUCUUUUCUUUCAUUUUGUUUAAUAAUCCUCUGGGAAAUAGAUAUACUAGGAGGUAUGAAUGAAAACCAUCAUCAUGUAAGACAAGACAAUGAAUUUUAUCCUUUGAUAGUGGUUUGUAGUUUGUAUUGUAAUGGAUAUUGAUCAUUGGAUAUGUAAAAUGGAUUAUUAUGUAUUAAUGGAUAAUUAUUGGAUAUGUAUAUGGAAUUUGGAUA